rnacentral:rRNA from 1 species
UACGUAGGGGGCUAGCGUUGUCCGGAAUCAUUGGGCGUAAAGAGCGUGUAGGCGGUCCGGUAAGUCAGCUGUGAAAGUCGGGGGCUCAACCCUCGAAUGCCGGUGGAUACUGUCGGGCUAGAGUGCGGAAGAGGCGAGUGGAAUUCCUGGUGUAGCGGUGAAAUGCGCAGAUAUCAGGAGGAACACCUAUUGCGAAGGCAGCUCGCUGGGACGUAACUGACGCUGAGACGCGAAAGCGUGGGGAGCAAACAGG